AGAGGGUGAAACUCCCGUCUGCCUGGUAGAAUGAGUCUUUGUCAACGAGUCGAGUUGUUUGGGAUUGCAGCCCUAAUUUGGUGGUAAAUUCCAUCUAAAGCUAAAUAUUGGUGGGAGACCGAUAGCGUACAAGUACCGUGAGGGAAAGAUGACAAAGAACUUUAGAAAAGAGAGACUAAAAGAGUACCUAGAAAUUGCUAGAAACGGAAGCGAAAGGAAACCAGUGUUUGUUGGUUCAUAUUUCCUUGGCCACUUGUGGUUUGGGCGCUGUGAGCUUGCGCGGGUUUGGGUUGGUUGAUCCCUUUGGAAGGGCGCAGUCAGAGUUGAUGUCU
rnacentral:rRNA from 1 species